GGAGAAUUAGCUCAGUAGGUCAGAGCGCUUGCCUGUUAAGCAAGAUGUCACUGGUUCGAGUCCAGUAUUCUCCG
rnacentral:tRNA from 1 species